UGAACGCUGGCGGCAUGCCUUACACAUGCAAGUCGAACGGCAGCACGGGAGCAAUCCUGGUGGCGAGUGGCGAACGGGUGAGUAAUACAUCGGAACGUGCCCAGUCGUGGGGGAUAACUACUCGAAAGAGUAGCUAAUACCGCAUACGACCUGAGGGUGAAAGCGGGGGAUCGCAAGACCUCGCGCGAUUGGAGCGGCCGAUGUCAGAUUAGCUAGUUGGUGGGGUAAAGGCCUACCAAGGCUACGAUCUGUAGUUGGUCUGAGAGGACGACCAGCCACACUGGGACUGAGACACGGCCCAGACUCCUACGGGAGGCAGCAGUGGGGAAUUUUGGACAAUGGGCGCAAGCCUGAUCCAGCAAUGCCGCGUGCAGGAAGAAGGCCUUCGGGUUGUAAACUGCUUUUGUCAGGGAAGAAAUCCUCUGGGUUAAUACCUCGGGGGGAUGACGGUACCUGAAGAAUAAGCACCGGCUAACUACGUGCCAGCAGCCGCGGUAAUACGUAGGGUGCGAGCGUUAAUCGGAAUUACUGGGCGUAAAGCGUGCGCAGGCGGCUUUGCAAGACAGA
rnacentral:rRNA from 1 species